ACUUUGAAUUCUACAAAUGAAGAGUGAAGAGAGCUGAAGCGCAUGGGGAUCCCCUGCUGAUGACUGAUUGCUGAAAAUUUUGAAUUUGCCCUUGUAUGUCAUUCUUUAUGGGAUUGGCAGUAGCCAGAGAUGCAUCCGUUGGAGUCAUUGCAACUUGUAGGUGCAGAAAGCUUAAUAGCUCAUAGGAUAGAAUCUUAUAUGAACAUUUUCCCCCCCCUUUUCAAGGUGGUGUGUUUUAUGUACGCCUCAUGCCAUAUUAUUUGACUUCAACUCUAACUAAUUACUAUUUCCAUUCGGUUUUCCCUUGUUUUAUAAAAAGUUAAAAAAAUUAAGAGUUAAAAUGUUACUCUUUUA
rnacentral:misc_RNA from 1 species